rnacentral:rRNA from 1 species
CCUACGGGUGGCAGCAGUGAGGAAUAUUGGUCAAUGGACGAGAGUCUGAACCAGCCAAGUAGCGUGAAGGAUGACUGCCCUAUGGGUUGUAAACUUCUGUUAUAAAGGAAUAAAACGAGGCACGUGUGCCUUUUUGCAUGUACGUUAUGAAUAAGGAUCGGCUAACGCCGUGCCAGCAGCCGCGGUAAUACGGAGGAUCCGAGCGUUAUCCGGAUUGAGUGGGUUUAAAGGGAGCGUAGAUGGGUUGUUAAGUCAGUUGUGAAAGUUUGCGGCUCAACCGUAAAAUUGCAAUUGAUACUGGCAGUCUUGAGUCCAUUUGAGGUCGGCGGUAUUCUUUGUGUAGCUGU